UAAGGUUGCAGCGAGUGAAGUGUCGGU
rnacentral:sRNA from 1 species